GAUGAACGCUGGCGGCGUGCCUAAUACAUGCAAGUCGAGCGAACAGACGAGGAGCUUGUUCCUCUGACGUUAGCGGCGGACGGGUGAGUAACACGUGGAUAACCUACCUAUAAGCCUGGGAUAACUUCGGGAAACCGGAGCUAAUACCGGAUAAUAUCUUGAACCGCAUGGUUCAAUAGUGAAAGACGCUUUUGCUUUCCCUUAUAGAUGGAUCCGCGUCGCAUAAGCUAGUUGGUAAGGUAACGGCUUACCAAGCCAACGAUGAGAAGCGGACCGGAGAGGUGGACCGGCCACACGGGAACUGGAACACGGUCCAGACUCCUACGGAAGGCAGCAGUAGGGAAUCUUCGCCAAUGGGGGAAGUCCUGACGGAGCAACGCCGCGUGAGGGAUGAAGGUCUUCGGAUCGUAAAACUCUGUUAUUAGGGAAGAACAAAUGUGUAAGUAACAAUGCACGUCUUGACGGUACCUAAUCAGAAAGCCACGGCUAACUACGUG
rnacentral:rRNA from 1 species